rnacentral:lncRNA from 1 species
GUUUAUAGGGUUUGGUCGGGCAGCACAACGGCUAGGUUUAGAUGAUAAUUGGGAUUUGGGCUAGGCAACGUAACAGCUAGGUGGGGUUGAUACUUAAGGUUUCAGUUGGGCGGCAUAACGGCUGUGUUUGGAUGAGACUCAAGGUUUUGGGCGAGCGGCAUAACAGCUAUGCCUGGACGAUAUUGGAGGUUUGGUUUGGGUAGCAUAACAGCUGUGUGGUGGAAUGGACCAGAGGUUUGGAUAGAUCCUUAAGGGAUUGGGGUCGCUAGGGAAUUGUGGAAUGAUCCUAAAGAGUAGAAUUUGAGAGUUUGUGUGACAGUUGGUCUAUACGGGUACUAGUGGAUAGUACACAUGGUGACAGACGUAGUAGGGCAAGAUCAAGUAGGAUAGAAACCAGAGAGCUUGUACAACGGACACCACUUUGUCCCGGUGCUAUGGGAUAGCACACAUGGUGACAGAGGAGACGGUACAAGAUCAAGCAGAUGCGCAACAGCGAUAGGGGUUAGCGGUGGUGAUAGGGCAGGGAGGAACAGCUAGCUAGGUGUUGUUGACAAUGCAGGUAAAGUGGCUAGAGGCCGCACGACGCACUCGACUUUGACCUAGCCCAGCACCUAGGGGUUAGGGCACGGUGGCGAGAAGAGGUAGUGCGGGAUCUUUCCUAAUAAGGUUGGGCUCUAAGAUCUUAGUAAAAGAUGGAAAGGGGACUCAUAUGAGGUGAACUAUAGAAAAGAAUGGCAUGGAUAGGCUUUUGGGGUUUUACGGGAAUUUUGGUGAACUUUGGGGGAUUUUUGGAGGUGAGGAAGGACUUGAAAUAAAAUUUAGGGUACACAAGCUGGGUGUGCAUAGCAAUUUUAGGGGGUGACGCAGGCAAUGGGGGCACUGCGAUACUGUGGCGUGAACCCGUGGACUCAUGCCAUGGACCAGGGGCGCUGCUGAGGGAGCGGUCCAUGUACGCGGGGUGCACGGAGUGAAGUAGGCGGAGGGGUGGAUGGCGGGUGAUGGCGCUAGGUGGGAGGGCCCACCUAUUGGGUUACACAGAGAGAGGGGGUAAAAAUGGAGAUGGGGGAGUGACGGCAGGGCGGGAUGGCGCCGGCGCCGAGCAGCGCCACCGCGUGCGCCAUGCGCACCCUCACCGGCUCACCGGAGGAGCGCCGAACCGGCACUUCCGGCCACCUUCGUGUUGGGAUACGAGGUAGGCUAUGCUAGCGCAAC